rnacentral:lncRNA from 1 species
GAAUUUUAAUGAGGUAUUUAACCAAUUUUUUCUCAUUUAACCAAUUUUUUCUCUCUAACUCAAUAAUUCUCUCGCCUCUCUCCUUUUACUCUCUCAAUUUUCUCUAAAUUACCAGAAUCCUUCUUCUUGUUUUCUUCUUUUUUUUGUUCCUAUUCUUUAUGAGAAAAUAAAUAAUUAAAAACAUAAAAAGUAUUACUCUCUUCUUUGAUCUCUCAAUUUUCAUUUUGAAAUUUCAAAAAGAUUUCUCCCAUGAAAGAAUCUUACCUUAAUAUUUCUCGGCGUCGAUCUGCUCCAGAAAAUCAUGGACUGAUUUGUCUUUCCUCCGUCAGCAUUCUUCAUCUGACAGUUGCCAUCGACGAUCACUGAUAGACACCACCGUCGAUCAAAGCUACAACAAAAAGGUAUAUCGUUUUCCCCUGAUCCUCAGAUUCUCUCUUUUGAUCUCCCCGUCGUCGAUCUACUAUAGAAUCAGGGUUGUUUUCCGCGGAUCCACUAGUCGCUGCCUUCAUCACCGUCAAGCCGCCGUCGUUGCAUCUCAAGGCUUGUAAAUAAAAGGUAGAAAAAAGCCUCUAUCUCGACUAUCAUGAUUGCUGAUUCCACUCUUUCUGAUUUAUUUUGAUAUUUGUUGAUUCAUUGCUAGAUCAGAUAAGUUUUAUGAAUCGAGUUUGAAAAGGAAGAGUAGAAGAUUGAAAUAUGGUUCGAUACUUUAGCGAGGUGUAUUGGGCGUUUUGGCGGGGGAUGAAAGUGAUCGAAGUAGAACCUCUUAUACCCACUAAAUUUGCAAGGUAAAAGGAGGUGAAAGUACACUUUCCUGAACUAGUGAUUUUGGAUCGUUAUUUAUGAUUACUGACUUUGAUUUCAAAAGUGUGAUUAUUUAGUGUAUGGAUAUUGAGUUGUUUCGUUUAACUGAAACGUAUGAAGAUCAACAUGAAUCAAUUAAUCAGAUUCAGAUCAAUACCCCUCUAAAAAAUCAAAGUUAAAUCUAAAUGAAAUACAAUAUAGUGUAAGUAUGCUAUAACAUAGUGAUAAGGAAGUGGAGAUUAAUAUACAAGUUUGGUAAGAAGGUAGAAGGGUAACAAGUAUGUUAUGACUGGAAUGGAUAUCAGUGAUGGUCAACUUAAAUAUAAUGCGAAUAUAGUACUUGAACAUGAUAUGAAUAUGAUGUUUAGAUGAGCAUCAGAAUAACAUGGAUAAAAAGCUAAAAAGAGAUUGUUAAUUUGUCAGUUAGUGUUAGUACAAGCAAAGUUAAUACAUAGCCUUUGAAGUUGAUAUGUAAUUAAGUAUUUUCGUAUGAAGUAUUUUCGUAUGAAGGAGUAUCGAUAGUAAUAGCUGAACUUCAAAAGAUAGUUAUGAAGUUUAAGGAUGUCCUAGCUUAUUCCCAAAGGAAACAAGUUUUAAUUUCAGUAUUUUUUUCAAUUUUCGUCACUUUUAUUUGGAUCCAAUUUAACAACUUCAAAUGGGACAAAAUUAACUACAAAAAUUUAAAAGGAGCCCAUAAUAAGUGUACCCAAAUCCCUACCUUUGGUUUGAAGUUGGUUAGUGGGACUUUUGUUACGUUUAUGAUAUAUUAGUACCUUUCGAUGAUUUGAGCAACGGCAAAAAAUUCGAACUCGUUGUAAUAUUUUUUCCAUUCAUUCGAUCACAAGAGAUAAAAUGAUCGAAAUAUUAAUACAUGGGUUUUAAUAAAUGAUCGAAAUAUUAAUACAUGAGUUUUCAUAAAUAAACAAAAAUGAAGAAAAUUUCAAUGAAAAUCGGGAGAAUAAAAAUGACGAAACAACUAAAAAAUUCGGAUAAAAUUUGGUUACUACAGGUUGCACCAGGAUCCGGACAUGCAGUCGGGACGGCACAACAGUAAUCCAGAAAUAUUGUCAAUUGCUUGUUGAUCCGGCAAAACUGCGGUACCGAUAUCAUACCGGCCGGUUUCCUUGAAACUACGGGUCAAGAUGAUUCAACAAAACUUUGCAUAGGGCAUGUUAUGGACCGCCUGUUAUGACAUACAAAUAGAAAGGCCUAAAGCCCACAACAAUACAAUAGACAGAUCAAUUACAAAAAACGUGAAUAAUGACUAAUUAAUAAUGACUACGAAUUCUGUAUUCUGAAAUCAUUAGAAUUUUAUUCUGAAACUAAUCUUCCCUCGUUCAGCAAUUCAGCAGCAGACAAUAGGACUGACGACACUAGAAGUCAAGGUCUUCUCCAAGUUCAUAUCGAUCGAAUCAAUGCCAUUGAGUUGGCAUUGGAACUUCAAAGUUCCUUCAGUAGAGUCUCGCUUUGGCGGUGUUCCUCUCGAAUCUCGCAGUAGCCCCUCCGUCAAGUCUCUGUCCGCCUAUUCGAUUAAUUAUUCUUCCUCCGACAUAUCCGUACUAUAGUCAGAGGGCAGUCCAAACACUACUGAACAGUGGUAUACAAUUGCAAGAAAUUAGACAAUUGAUGGUUCAUCUCGUACUGUAUCCCAUUCAUGGUUCAUAUUUACUUAUGAUUCUCGAUUACGUAGACACUAGAUUCUUAUUUUCUUUUGAGUUUUGACUGCUCAAUAAAGUCCGCAGACAUUAGAUUUAUACUUUUGACUCCUCAUGUAGACAGUAGAUGAUGGAAAAUCAAAUAUUCA